CUCUUCUUCGAGAAUUUACUUUCAUGAAAUAUAUAAUUCCUCGAUGAUGAUAAUCGCAAAGCUUCCAGAUUAUUGUGCAUCGAUGCAACGAUUUGUCUGGGCGCAGUUAGUUGUCGAUGUAACAGAACGCGUAGCAUCGGAACGAAAUCGAUGAACGAAACGACUCUGGGUUGGAUUAAACCACGCAUAUCUGGCAUCCAUUGCAGGUUGCUGCCCUGCCAAAUAUUUCUGUCGACAACGAGCAGUGGGAAGACACUGAAAUAUGACCUGUGCGGCCGCGCUACUGGAUUGCGAAAUCUGGAUAUAUCAUGCGCGAAUAAAUGACCCAGGUUACAGAUAUUAUCAAAACCGGUGGAUUAAAAAACGAGGACUAGAACGUUGAUGAAAAUCGUGACGGAUACGAAAAUAAUUCGAAACGGUGGAAAACAUCAAUUAAUAUUAACGAGAACGAUCGACAAAGGGUUUUACGUUCUCUGGCGCUAAUGCAUCAUGAAUACAACAUGCCGAUAAUCGAAAUAGAGGCCAUUCUCACUGUUCACGGGUAUCAACGAAACCACGUGGAUCGAUACGAUUCUCGUUUCGACAAA